AAACACGAACUCGUUACAUGUAAAGAAUAAAAAGUUAAAUUAGAUUAGGGCUCGUUCGGUUACCUAUAUCGAAUUAGAUUGGUUUAGAUGAAAUUGAAUUAACCCUUUGUUGAGUAAUUAAUUAUUUACUUAUUAAGACGUUCGGUUCAUUGUAUUAGAUCUUGUAUUAAAUAUUAUACGUAAUUUGUUUAUAAAACCUUUAAGUUAAUAAAAUUAACAUGUAAUUUAAAAUAUUUUUUACUUGUUUAGUCACUCGUAUGAAAUUAAUCUCAGAGGGAGGAUAUUACUAAUUUAAUGAAAUAAUAACAUUUAACAGCGAAUUUUAAUAAUUUUAGUAGUGAGUUUGAAAAAUAUUAAAUUUUGCCAAUCGAACAUAUUACUAGCCCAUACUAUUUAGUCCAUAAAAUCUUAUAACGGUAACCAAACGAGUUCUUAAUAUUUCGUAGUUGUAAUAAAUAUUGUACAUGCUUAAUGAGGGCAUAAUUGAUAGGAAAUUGAACUCAAGGGGGAGUAAUUGAAGGCUCAGAUAAGAAAGGGGAGUCAAGUGAAAUUAAGAAGAAGAAGAAAAAAAGUAGCAGUACCUUCCGCUUAUACCAAUUGUACAUUUUAGACGCUCCCCUACCCCUAGCCCGAAACACGUAUAAAUAUGAUAAAAAAAACACUAAAUACACACACCAGCCAGAUUCAUUUCCCCGCUUAAAACGUAUUUGGAGAGAAACUAAAAUUUAUUGCACAAUUUGACUUUGAUACGUUUAUUUUUUUAUGAGUAACUAGCAUUAAUGGAUGCUGGUAGGGUAUUCGAGCUCAAACCGUCCGCCAUUGACGCCGCGGCGGAGGUGGCUGAGCUGCGGAGAGAGAAUCGAGAGGGUCCGCGGUUGAAAUUGAUGCAUUGAUGGCUAAAACUUAGUCGUUGAUGGACAAGAUCUCGUCGAAUCCCAAGAACCCUAGCCCCGUUGCAAAUCGCAUCCAGGUAAUUCAUGGUGGUUUUUAAUUGUUAUCAUUUGGAUCGUGUUUAUUAGGUUUCAUUAACUGUGUAUUUAUCUAUUAUUUAUUCAUUUUCAAUCAAAGUGGAAGGAUCACUCGAGAAACCAUUUUCAAAAUUGGGAAGAUUUAAGAACAGAAAAAUCGGAGCUUAUUACGAUGCAUUUAUAUAAGGAUCUCAAGUGUGAUUUGAGCGUUUAUUUGGUUAUUAAGUGAUGCAGUUUGCUGUCAUUUCCUGCAGCUAAUCUAAUGACUAACUGUAAAUGGAAAAUCGAAUAAAUCGGUAACUCAAAUUAAGGAUAUUCGUAACGGAACUGUAGUUAAUGUAUUCUCUUAGAUUGUUUUUCGCACAUUUGGAAGUUGUCUCUCGUGCACGUGUCUUGUUCACAUAGGUGCGCAUCGGUACACGUGCUGAUGUUUUUUAUGGAGAGUUUCUGUUUUUUCUCGAUUAUUUCCAUUUAAAGUUUCUAUUUGAUUUAGGUUUUUAGGGCUUUACCCUUUACGCUUGAACUGCCAAGAGGAAAACGGGGGAAAAAGAAAAGAACCACAGAGUGAAUAUAGAAAGGUCAUUGAAUGAGUAAGUACGCUACUUUCAGCUCCUAUAUAGGGGCGCGAAGGACAGACUUGCCAAAUGUAAUGAUUCUACGUUCGUGAUUUAUGAUAUACUAAGCUUAAGCUAUAUCUCUUUAUCUUUACAUGUCUUUUAUUGACUUACGUAAUUGCACACAUGACUUCCCUAAUCCAUUCCUCACUCGACAAUUGUCCUUCUCUCUUUUUUGUAAUACAAAAAAAUGAAUUCAUGGUAUUUAUGCUUCUUCAAACUUUUGUUUGUUUUUAGUUUUAUACAAGAGUUACUUUUAGUAACUGUUUUCAUAUAUGUAUAUGUAUUUAUAUCUUUCUUUUUUCGUGGAUAUUUAGAUACAUGAAAGACGAAGAUCAUUCCUCGACAAACAAUUACAGGUCUUCUAAUGACCUUGGGCUUAUUGGGAAUCUUAUUCAGGAAUUUAAUUAAAUAAUAUUCUUAGCGAUCUGGAGCAGUCAAAGACUAUUAUAGUAUCUGAAACUGAUGAAGAUAUUUGUGGAUCGUGAUGGCAUGUAGAGACUGCUUGAUGUUCCAAGAAAUGCUCAACCAUUGCUUAGUCUCUCUUCCUGCUUAUUCACAGUUGGUUCGUUUCAGCGGACAAUGGGACACGUGUGCCCGAAACCAAUGAAGAUAUUGGCGAAGUUUACAUAGUGAGCUUCGAUUCACUUAUGCAGCUAAGGGAGAAAGCAUGCGUUAAGUGCCUGAUGGUUAUGGGGAAGCGUAUCAAGAGUAUCGAACCUCUUCUUCAUGAGAAGGCGGUUGAUAUUUCCAUUGAGUUACUAAGGAAAUCUGUUAAAAUUGGCGAGGGUGUACCAUUAUCGAGAAGUAUGCUAUAUUUGCUCGAUUUUUGAAGGUAUUCGGUCACUUUGCGGCUCAUCGAAAAUUUGUAACGUUAUUCAUUGACCGCGGUGGCAGGCAGACACUUAUUGACGUUCCGAGGAAUAAGCGAACGUUUUUCAGUCUCUCUUUGCUCUUAUUCACAAUUAGUACGUUCAAAGCGGACAAUGGGACACGUGUGCCCGAAACCAAUGAAGAUAUUGGCGAAGUUUACAUAGUGAGCUUCGAUUCACUUACGCAGCUAAGGGAGAAAUCCUGUGUCAAGUGUCUGGUGGUUAUGUCGAUAAUUUCUUAGUCUGGGCGAUGGACGAGCCACAAAGAAAUUCCGGUGCUCAUCUCAAAUUGGAGAAUAUUGAAACGAUACGGAAAAUAUUAGAUGUCGAAAUAUUGCACACAUACUCCGUUGGACUUCUUUCAGUAUGCUUGACUUUUGGUUGCCUACGAAUGAAAGAUGCCUUAACGACGUACGGAUUGCCGGUUAUGCUAAUGCGAUAUUUACGAAGUGGGGUUUUGGGCGAACUAAAAAAGACUGCAUUUGAUGCUGCUCUCAUAUGGAAGUUAACUAUGCCGAAAACCGAUAUCGGCGAAGUUUACGUAGCGAGCUUCGAUUCACUUACACAGCUAAGGGAGAAAGCCUGUGUUAAGUGUCUGAUGGUUAUGCGGAAGCGUAUCGAGAGUAUCGAACCUCUUCUUCAUGAGAAGGCGGUUGAUAUUUCCAUUGAGUUACUAAGGAAAUCUGUUAAAAUUGGCGAGGGUGUACCGUUAUCGAGAAGUAUGCUAUACUUGCUCGAUGUUUUGAAGAUAGUCGGUCACUUUGCGGCUCAUCGAAAAUUUGUAACGUUAUUCGUUGACCGUGGUGGCAUGCAGAGAGUUGUUGACGUUCCGAGAAAUAAGCAAACCUUUUUCAGUCUCUCUUUGCUCUUAUUCACAAUUAGUAAGUUUAAGGUACUUGGUCAAUUUGCGGCUCAUCGAAAAUUUGUGACAUUAUUCGUGCACUGUGGUGGCAUGCAAACGCUCGUUGACGUUCCGAGGAAUAAGGGAACGUUUUUCAGUAUCUCUUUGCUCUUAUUCGCAAUUUGUUCGUUUAAGGGCAUAAUGGAACACGUGUGCGAUCUUCCUUCAAACGUCAUCGAAAGAGUUGUGGAGUUGGCUUUGGAGCUUCUCGAGUGUCGGGACGAUUUAUCGAGCAAGAAUGCCGGUUCAUUUAUUUCGUCCGCUUUUUCUUUCCGUGCGUUCGUCAGAAAGGAUGGUUUCCGAAAGCUUCUUUGUUAUCUGCAAGAGUAUGUUUCCAAUCAGAAGAAAGCCCACUGCACAUGCAUUGCACUGCACCGGUACAUGAAAGCACACCUCCACUUGUUUGUGGAUUCCAUUUUGCACGUCUCGAAAGUUAGGGUUUCGUAUAGACAACUCGACUUAAGUAACGAGGCCGUGGACGUUGUAUUUCGUAAAAUACAAAAGGAUCAGAAAGUGGGACCCGCUUUUGCAAGGGCGACGAGCUGGCAUGCCGUCGACGAAUUCUUACGUUUGAAAGGUCAUAUUACCUUGUUGGAGAUGUGCCAGAACAUAUAUAGGUUACAAGAUUCGCUUCCACACGUACUCGGUGUAUUGCAUAUCGUAACUUUAAUUCCAUACAGCCGUGAAAUAAUAAUAAACGCAACAGUAAGCGAUGGUCGAGUCGGCAUGGCUGUUAUUUUGGAUGCAAUAAUGACCCCAGCCGACGUUAAACCAGAGGGUGUUGAGCCGGCGCUACAUCUGUUGAUAAAUCUCGUCUGCCCUCCUCAAUCGAUGACCGACGAAUCAAAUGCAGCCAUCGUGCCACAUCAGCAAGCUUCCUCUGAACUAGAGAAGCUAGAACAAGGAUAUCGACGAAUUCUUACGUUUGAAAGGUCAUAUUACCAUGUUGGAGAUGUGUCAGGGUGCAAUAGGAUACGCGUGUGCCACAUUUAUCUACUGUCGUUGGCCCACUGUCUACAAAUUCAUAAGUUCAAAUGGUCAUAUUACUUUGUUGGAGUUGUGCCAAGCCUCACAAUUAACACGUACUCUACAAGGUUCUCUUCAAUAUAUCAUCGAAGUAUUGCGUAUACUGACUUUGAUUCAGUGUAUUCGAAAAGAUAUCAUAAAUGCAACGUUAAGCAAUGGCCGAGCUGGUAUAUCUGUAGUUUUGGAUGUAAUAAAUACACCAGCUAAUUUUGAACCGGAGCAUUGCACAUGUUGGUAAAUCUGGUUUGCCCUCCUCCAUUCAUUCCGAAAGACGGUUUUAAAGAUCGGGCAAUAGACGACAUGGAACAAGGCUGUUGUCUAGCAAGAGAAGCUAUCCGUGCAAAUAACGGUAUAAAGAUUCUUCUUCGGCGUCUCCAACGUCGGAUAGCCGCAUCCCAAGCCGAUCUUGUGCGUCGCCGUGUUCUUACAUGCCGAGUCCUCCUCCGUUUAGCCUAAGAUAAUUCCAUUGCACGUAUAUUAUCAAAGCUUGAGUUUCCAGAUGUUCCGACAAAAUCUGUGCAAGUACAAAUGCAAUCGUCAUCUCGAAUUUCUCCUUGUGGAUUGUUUUCGCCUUUUUGGACAAAAUCCAAAUAUUUUUCACACAAAAAAAUUGUGUGCCUUGUGUGUGUUUCAUGUGCGCUAUGUUUGUGCAUAUAUUUCGUGAGCAAACUGCACACUGUAUGUCCAUAUUUUGAGUAUGACAUGUGUAUUUUGUGUACGAAUAUUGUUUUUUAAACAAUGCGUUAGAUCGGUCGAAAAUUUCAACCAACCCAAUAUAUAAUUGUGGUGGUUCAUGGUUUCUAAUAUCACGAAAAGUCGAUUGACCGAUAAUUAUCGAUGAAUCAAUUAUAUUAAUAUUUUAUUAUUUUAUUA